GACGAACGCUGGCGGCGCGCCUAACACAUGCAAGUCGAACGGAGCUGAGAGAAGCUUGCUUUUCUUAGCUUAGUGGCGAACGGGUGAGUAACGCGUGAGUAACCUGCCCUGGAGUGGGGGACAACAGUUGGAAACGACUGCUAAUACCGCAUAAGCCCACGAUCCGGCAUCGGAUUGAGGGAAAAGGAUUUAUUCGCUUCAGGAUGGACUCGCGUCCAAUUAGCUAGUUGGUGAGGUAACGGCCCACCAAGGCGACGAUUGGUAGCCGGACUGAGAGGUUGCACGGCCACAUUGGGACUGAGACACGGCCCAGACUCCUACCGGAGGCAGCGGUAGGGGAUAGUGCACAAUGGGGGAAACUCAGAUGCAGCGACGCCGCGUGGAGGAAGAAGGUUUUCGGAUUGCAAACUCCUGUCGUUAGGGACGAUAAUGACGGUACCUAACAAAAAAGCACCGGCUAACUACGUG
rnacentral:rRNA from 1 species